AUGUGUAGGAUAGGUGGGAGGCUUUGAAGCGUGGACGCCAGUCUGCGUGGAGCCGACCUUGAAAUACCACCCUUUAAUGUUUGAUGUUCUAACGUGGACCCGUAAUCCGGGUUGCGGACAGUGUCUGGUGGGUAGUUUGACUGGGGCGGUCUCCUCCUAAAGAGUAACGGAGGAGCACGAAGGUUGGCUAAUCCUGGUCGGACAUCAGGAGGUUAGUGCAAUGGCAUAAGCCAGCUUGACUGCGAGCGUGACGGCGCGAGCAGGUGCGAAAGCAGGUCAUAGUGAUCCGGUGGUUCUGAAUGGAAGGGCCAUCGCUCAACGGAUAAAAGGUACUCCGGGGAUAACAGGCUGAUACCGCCCAAGAGUUCAUAUCGACGGCGGUGUUUGGCACCUCGAUGUCGGCUCAUCACAUCCUGGGGCUGAAGUAGGUCCCAAGGGUAUGGCUGUUCGCCAUUUAAAGUGGUACGCGAGCUGGGUUUAGAACGUCGUGAGACAGUUCGGUCCCUAUCUGCCGUGGGCGCUGGAGAACUGAGGGGGGCUGCUCCUAGUACGAGAGGACCGGAGUGGACGCAUCACUGGUGUUCGGGUUGUCAUGCCAAUGGCACUGCCCGGUAGCUAAAUGCGGAAGAGAUAAGUGCUGAAAGCAUCUAAGCACGAAACUUGCCCCGAGAUGAGUUCUCCCUGAGACUUAGAGUCUCCUGAAGGAACGUUGAAGACGACGACGUUGAUAGGCCGGGUGUGUAAGCGCAGCGAUGCGUUGAGCUAACCGGUACUAAUGAACCGUGAGGCUUAACCUUAC
rnacentral:rRNA from 1 species